GAUGAACGCUGGCGGCGUGCCUAAUACAUGCAAGUCGAGCGAACAGACGAGGAGCUUGCUCCUCUGACGUUAGCGGCGGACGGGUGAGUAAAACGUGGAUAACCUACCUAUAAGACUGGGAUAACUUCGGGAAACCGGAGCUAAUACCGGAUAAUAUAUUGAACCGCAUGGUUCAAUAGUGAAAGACGGUUUUGCUGUCACUUAUAGAUGGAUCCGCGCCGCAUUAGCUAGUUGGUAAGGUAACGGCUUACCAAGGCAACGAUGCGUAGCCGACCUGAGAGGGGGAUCGGCCACACUGGAACGGGGACACGGUCCAGACUCCUACGGGAGGCGGCAGGAGGGAAUCUUCCGCAAUGGGCGAAAGCCUGACGGGGCAACGCCGCGUGAGUGAUGAAGGUCUUCGGAUCGUAAAACUCUGUUAUUAGGGAAGAACAAAUGUUUAAGUAACUAUGCACGUCUUGACGGUACCUAAUCAGAAAGCCACGGCUAACUACGUG
rnacentral:rRNA from 1 species